GUCUACGGCCAUGUCACCCUGAACACGCCAGAGUUCGUCUGAUUUCGGAAGCUAGCCAGUGUCAGGCCUGAUUAGUACUUGGACGGGGUACUACAUGGGAAGACCAUGUGCUGUAGACA
rnacentral:rRNA from 1 species